GGUCCCAUGAUGUAAGGAGCAGUAUUCAGGACUCUGAAUCCUACAAUCUGAGUUCAAAUCUCAGUGGCACCU
rnacentral:tRNA from 1 species